AAUCAACGCUGGCGGCGUGCCUAACACAUGCAAGUCGAACGCGACUGGGGGCUUCGGCUCUCAGUUGAGUGGCGAACGGGUGAGUAACACGUGGGUGACCUACCUUCGAAUGGGGGAUAACGUCCCGAAAGGGACGCUAAUACCGCAUAACAUCCUGCCUUUGAACAGGUGGAGAUCAAAGCUGGGGAUCGUAAGACCUGGCGUUUGGAGAGGGGCCCGCGUCCGAUUAGCUAGUUGGUGAGGUAACGGCCCACCAAGGCACCGAUCGGUAGCCGGCCUGAGAGGGCGGACGGCCACACUGGGACUGAGACACGGCCCAGACUCCUACGGGAGGCAGCAGUGGGGAAUUGUUCGCAAUGGGCGCAAGCCUGACGACGCAACGCCGCGUGGAGGAUGAAGGUCUUCGGAUUGUAAAUUCCUGUUGCCCGGGACGAAACACUCUGACCUAACACGUCAGAGUCUGACGGUACCGGGUGAGGAAGUCCCGGCUAACUCUGUGC
rnacentral:rRNA from 1 species